rnacentral:lncRNA from 1 species
GGUUAGGUGACAUUUUUCUCGGCAGCCACUUUUUAAUUAUUGUAAUAUCAUCACCCGGUGGUACCACACCAUGGGGCCAAUUUCCGGUGGUGCUCCUCCACCCUUUCUAUCUCCCGCCGCCUAAACACGGUCGUGCAUUCAGGCAGCUCGCCUAGAUCGGCAAAAAAAGAGUCUUCGUCGUCUCGAAUUGAAAAAAUCUUUGCCAUAUCGUUAUCUUCGGCCAUGUCCCUAGCCAUCAAGGGACUUUCGAGCAUGGUUGGUGAUGUGGAGUCAAAAUCUGAGAACCACUCGUAGUAUUGAUUGGUGGUUGUGGCAAAUGGCCCACAUGAUGACCCCACCUCGAAACUUGUGAACUUUUGGUCAGCCUUAGACUCAGGCUCAAGCUCUGGCUCAGGCUCAGACUCACGCUCAAACUCAGGCUCAGAUUGCCUAUUUGAAAUUUGAUGGUCAUCUUCUAAUUCUUCCAAUUGGUCAUUGGUAACGUCCGAAUUGGUUGCUUCAGUGGUGGUUGGUGGUGAUGGUGGCGUAUUGUAGUUGUGGUGGUGGUGGUGGUGAUUUUUGUUUUUUGAAGCCGGCCAAGGGUGGUUGUGCUCACAAGAAUACGUCACCAUCACCAUCGUAGGGUCCGCCCGGCUCCUCUCUACUUGUUUUCUUGCUGGACAACCUUUGGAACUACUACAUCUAUAAUAGCCCCUGCCAAACAAAACAAAUAAUUGAGGUUUGUAAACAAUUUAACUUAAUUAAUUUCAAUUAACCACUUUGUACAAUUGUACAAAUAGUCUAUUUCAAAAUUAAAAAAAAAAAAUAUUGAGAACUGCGAAAAACAGAUAUUGAUACACUAUAGAAUUAUGACAACCGCAUAAAGACAGUAACUACCUAGGGUACGGAGAUCCCUUGAUAGGUUUUUGGCCGUACUUUCUCCAAGCCCAGGAAUCAGCUGGUGGGGCGUUUGUCUCGCCCUUAAGUCGAGAUCUUUCAACUUCUUUGAUCGGUACGUGCACAACCCUUUUCUUCGCUCCUCGUUUACUGUGCAAGGAUUAAUCCAACAAUUAACAUAUGUCUUAGGUUGUGUGUGUUGUGUGUGUUUUGUACUAGGAUUUAACUCACCUUUUAGUAGAGGAAGUAGAUGUUGCCUUGGUGUCAUGGGAAAGAGGUGAACGCGGCGAUUCCUCACUGUUUUCUGGCGAGUUUUGAUCGUCUUCUUGAUGGACGCUGCGCCGGUGAAAUCCAACUUCCAUGAUGUGAUAACUACAAGUGUUUCUUUACAGAGAGAGAGAGAUUGGAGAAGGUGGUGA